AGUCCUGUAGAUGGAAAUUAAAACGGUUGAUUGUAUCAAACUUGUGGGAUAUAAAAACGGGAAUCAAUGAAGAAUAAAGUGUAUAUCAACAUCAUAAAACAUUCGUAAAUGUUGGUUCCCUAGUGAUAACUCAAUGUUACUUGAAUAAUGGAGAUUUAUUUACAAAAACUAGUAUUUCCUAUGAAAUCGUAAUAGAAUUUCGCCAUUUUGAAACUAACAGAGCGUUCAAAUAAUUAACCUACGUGAAAGUAAGGUCAAAUGCCCGGUCUGUGGAAUUUCUUGUUUCAUAAUAAGCAAAGGAUUCGAAAUACCGGUAUGAAUUCAAAAAUAAGAGGGGGACGUUCUAGAACCUAUUCUUCGUUAGUGAGAAAUUUUCAAGGAUAAUCAGGAGCCACGCUCGUGCUCAUGUGGGUGCACGGACGGGUUGCGUGAGACAGGAUACGCAUAGUAGAUGAGGUCAUAAUACUCAUCCAUUCGCACAGGUGGUCCCUACCUGCCCCAUUCACGCCGCACCAGUCACUCCGUAAAGCGAGUGUACCUCUCAGGGAAUCCCGGCUUAAUAAUCAUUAG